CUCCGCUUGGUGUAGUUGGUUUAUCACGUUCGACUGUAAUAUCAAAUUGUAAUCGAAAGGGUAUGUUACGUUAAAAAUAUAAGAAUUCAAAACAGCUACUAACGAAUUUAACAGUCCCUAGUUCGAUUCUGGGAGCGGAGA